ensembl:lncRNA
AUGCAAUUACUGGUGGUGGUGUUACUAUAUCUGUACGGUCUAUCGAGACCUGUCCGUGUCCGGCUAUCAUGGCUAUUUUUCUGUAUGGUCUAUCAAGGCCUGUCUGUGUCUGCCUAUCGUGGCUAUUUCUGUACGGUCUAUCGAGACCUGUCCGUGUCCGGCUAUCAUGGCUAUUUUCUGUAUGGUCUAUCAAGGCCUGUCCCAUGUCUGCAUAUUGUGGCUAUCUGUGUCUGGCCUAUCCUGGCUAUUUCUGUACGGUCUAUCGAGGCCUAUCUGUGUCUGGCUAUAAUGGCCAUUUCUGUACGGCCUAUCGAGGCCUGUCCGUGUCUGCCUAUCGUGGCUGUCUGUGUCUGGCCUAUCGUGGCUAUUUCUGUACGGCCUAUCAAGGCCUGUCCGUGUCCGGCCAUCAUGGCUAUUUUUCUGUAUGGUCUAUUGAGGCCUGUCCUGUGUCUGCCUAUUGUGGCUAUUUCUGUACGGCCUAUUGAGGCCUGUCUGCGUCUGCCAUUGUGGCUGUCUGCGUCUGGCCUAUUGUGGCUAUUUAUGUACGGCCUAUCGAGGUCUGUCUGCGUCUGCCUAUCGUGGCUAAUCAUGGUCUAUCGAGGCCUGUCUUGCGUCUGCCUAUCGUGGCUGUCUGCGUCUGGCCUAUUGUGGCUAUUUAUGUACGGUCUAUCGAGGCCUGUCUGUGUUGGCUAUUUCUGUACGGUCUAUCGAGGCCUGUCCGUGUCCGCCUAUCGUGGCUGUCUGCGUCUGGCCUAUUGUGGCUAUUUCCGUUGGUCUAUCGAGGCCUGUCCGUGUCUGGCUAUCAUGGCUAUUUUUCUGUAUGGUCUAUCAAGGCCUAUCUGUGUCUGGCCAUCAUGGCUAUUUCUGUACGGUCUAUCAAGGCCUGUCUGCGUCUGCCUACUGUGGCUGUCUGUGUCUGGCCUAUUGUGGCUAUUUAUGUACGGUCUAUCGAGGCCUGUCUGUGUUGGCUAUUUCUGUACGGUCUAUCGAGGCCUGUCCGUGUCCGCCUAUCGUGGCUGUCUGCGUCUGGCCUAUUGUGGCUAUUUCCGUUGGUCUAUCGAGGCCUGUCCGUGUCUGGCUAUCAUGGCUAUUUUUCUGUAUGGUCUAUCAAGGCCUAUCUGUGUCUGGCCAUCAUGGCUAUUUCUGUAUGGUCUAUCGAGGCCUGUCUGUGUCUGGCUAUCAUGGCUAUUUUUCUGUACGGUCUAUCGAGGCUGUCUGUGUUCUGCCUAUCAUGGCUAUUCUGUAUGGUCUAUCGAGGCCUGUCUGCGUCUGCCUAUCGUGGCUGUCUGCGUCUUGCCUAUCGUGGCUAUUUCUGUUGGUCUAUUGAGGCCUGUCUGUGUCUGCCUAUCGUGGCUGUCUGCGUGAGGCCUAUCGUGGCUAUUUAUGUUGGUCUAUCGGGGCCUGUCUGUGUCUGCCUAUCGUGGCUGUCUGCGUCUGGCCUAUCGUGGCUAUUUAUGUACGGUCUAUUGGGGCCUGUCUGUGUCUGCCUAUCGUGGCUGUCUGCGUCUGGCCUAUCGUGGCUAUUUAUGUUCGGCCUAUCGAGGCCUGUCCGUGUCUGCCUAUCGUGGCUAUUUAUGUUGGUCUAUCGGGGCCUGUCUGUGUCUGCCUAUCGUUGCUGUCUGUGUCUGGCCUAUUUCUGUAAAACUUAAGAAGUUUAAUCUAACGUCAUUAUACUGGUCAUGCUAACUCUCUUUCUAUUUCUUCCAGGAACCUUAGGAUUCACAACUGGUGGGUAUACUUCAUCUACUUUUUUUUGGGGGGAAGGCUGGCCCCGUCUGGAGGUCUCAUAAUCCACCUAAUUUUGGGGGUCUGCUGCGCCCCUGCCUUCGUCUUCAGGCAGGAAAUGCAGAUUCGCUACCCUCGGAUUACGAACCAUGGACGGGGCCUUCCGCCAAAGAAAUUUAUAAUUGUGCUCGCUGAGCUGUCAAUAAAUGUAUGCUUCGUACAUUCCUCUAUCUCCCGAGUCUUUCUGGUAGAAAUGGAAGCUUUAGCCUAAGUUCUACCAGGAAGACUCAAUCACUUCGUCACUAAUUACCUUCAUCAUUAUCCAAUCACGUCUUUAUACUCCUGUAUAAAAGAUCGUACUUACACAUGUUUGAGUUCGCAGAUGCCAACGCGACAACAACCUCCACCCUCCCCACCACCACCAGGAUGGUCCUGUCCUUACCUUCCAGGGGGGUCUGCUGCGCCCCUGCCUUCGUCUUCAGGCAGGAAAUGCAGAUUCGCUACCCUCGGAUUACGAACCAUGGACGGGGCCUUCCGCCAAAGAAAUUUAUAAUUGUGCUCGCUGAGCUGUCAAUAAAUGUAUGCUUCGUACAUUCCUCUAUCUCCCGAGUCUUUCUGGUAGAAAUAAUUUAUAGCAUGUAAAAAAUGUAUACCAUGUAAUCAUUCACACAAGUGAUUCUUCUUAUAGCAAACAGACACAAGAAGUGCUUGUAAUACCAAGUUUUAGACAUUGUUCAAAUAAGGUCAAGCUAGAAAAAGAAGGAAUAAAUAAAGAGUAUUUUUUUUAUUUUUUUAUGAUGAAGCCAAGUAGUUUAGAAAGAGAUGAGUUUUCAGCUGUCGCUUGAAAAUUGUCAGGGAUUCAGCAUUCCGGAUAGGGGUUGGAAGAUCAUUCCACCAGCCAGGAAUGGUGAACGAGAAUGUUCUGGAAAGUGAUUUUGAGCCUCUUUUCCGAUGGUACUACGAGGCGUAGCUCACUAGAGCCCCUUUCACACUGCAUGUCACUUCGAAGUGAUGACACACGUUAUCGAGCAACUCUUUUAUCGGCUGUUUUGAAGAAAGUGAAAAGUGAAAGUGAAGUGACAUUCAGCCAAGUAUGGUGACCCAUACUCAGAAUUUGUGCUCUGCAUUUAACCCAUCCGAAAUGCACACACACAGAGCAGUGAACACCCACACACACACUGUGAGCACACACCCGGAGCAGUGGGCAGCCAUUUAUGCUGCGGCGCCCGGGGAGCAGUUGGGGGUUCGAUGCCUUGCUCAAGGGCACCUAAGUCGUGGUAUUGAAGGUGGAGAGAGAACUGUUCAUGCACUCCCCCCACCUACAAUUCCGUCCGGCCCGAGACUAGAACCCACAACCCUUCGAUUGGGAGUCCAACCCUAUAACCAUUAGGCCACAACUUCCCAAAGAUCAACGAUCACGACAAAAAAAUAAUAAUAUGUGCAAACUCAGCAGAGAUCAGUCACUUCCUCACUUUCCGCACUAUUGCCGAGAUCGUUUGCUUGCUUCAGUGAAAGUAUAACGUGCCUAACGUUUUUGACUCGUACAUUACACGUCACGCACUGAUGUCAAGUGUCGUUACGGGAUCUUUACAGGUUGUGUGUGAAAGCACGACAUAUCCCGGGUAAUCACUGGCAGUGUGAAAGUACAAAAUCUAGCCACCCGGGAACAAUUGCCGGGACACUUUACCCAUGUAUUUGCCGGAAUGGCAGUGUGAAAUGGGCUUAGCAGAUCUGAGAUUUCUGGAAGGGAUGUAGAUUCAUAAUAUGAUGAAGAAUAAUAGAUGAAGCAUACAUGGUAUGCAGCCCUUAAGAUUUGUCCACAAACUACUUACUGCCUUCUUUUCAAACAGUUUGGAGUGCAUCUGUGAUGUAUGGUAGGCAGAUUACUAGGUUUUUGGAAGAGAGUGAUUAUCUAAAGGAGUCAAAGCAUUUUCUAAAGCUGAGUGGAGAACAACAUUGUAGGUUAUACAGGUGUUUGGUGACAAUGCAAAGGUUAUGGGGACACUUCAAAAUUCAAAACAUGAUUCAUGACUCAAAUGUGCAGGAGGUAUAAUGAGUUCAAAAUUGUCAGACUCAUUUGAUCCCUAAGUAGUGCCCUUGUUUGACCAGUGAA